ACAGGAGAGAACAAUUACCAAAUAAUAUGGUACCAUUGACUACAAAACGGAUCAUUUUCAUAAUCAAGAAUCUGAUGGGUGGCCAAAAUUUUGUUUAUCCUGUCCAAUGGUUCAUCUCUGGCUUCGUCAUGAUCUACUCGAGGACAUACAAUGGCUCUUCAAACAGGAUCAAUUGCAUCAUACACAUCUUGUAUAUCCUGUAAUGAGUAACAGUGUACAAUUGGAAGUGAGCGGUUCUUCGAAACUCUAGGCCUAGAGAGUUCUAAACCCCAUCUGCUCGGCCAACGACUAUGUUGUUCGAUAUCACAUCAUCAAGGAUGUGAGAGUAAACAGUAGGGUUAACAAAUCUGGAUAUGUCGGAUGACACAACGUCAGUUUUUUCCCUAAUGAUAAAAAACUUACAAGCGAUUAUAGCUCAUUUUUUUCUCCCUCUAUUUAUCCUGCAUAAAUUUGAAAUUAAAUCAACAUAAGGCAAUUUAAAAAGCUAUGCGCGAAAGAAUAAAAAAGAAAAAAUGUGAGGAAAUUAAAAAUAGAGACAUAUAUUAAAACAUUAAUGAUAGAAAGAUCAAGAGAUGGGGCUUGACACUAUGGGCCUUGACACUAGGCCCAAACCAAGAGUGUGGAGGGUGUAUUGGAGAAAGAAGGGGAAUAAUGAGAAGAAUGAUGACGUGGCUAUGUGAUGCAUGGUAUGCAUGGGGGAUUUGUUAUAUAAGCAGUAGAGGGGAAAGAGAAGGGAUCAUUCAAGAUUCUGUUAUUUGAGUAGGGUCACUAUAGUAGUGAUUUGGGAGCNNNNNNNNUGUUUCAUUCAUUAAUUCAUAUAGAAACCUAUUAAUUAAUAUGAUAAGGGAAGAAGAAAACACAUAGGGGACGUUUGAAGAUCCAAAAAGUAUAUUUGUUUAAGAAAAAAAAAACAAUUUUACUCAUAUGGAAUACACCAAUUAAUAUAUCUAUAAUUAUUCAACAGCUUAUGAAACUUCAGUUCAGAUAACAACCAUCACCAUAAGUUUCCAUACAUAUUACUAUUUGCUAUCUCUAAGUCAAGAUUGUGCUACUUUAAUUUACAUUUUAUAUAAAUAAACAUUAUUUUGAUAUUUUCUCAAUAUUUGGCCCCUCGUAAAAUUUCGUCUAGCUCCUCUACUGCUACUAAGGUGCAGACCAGCAGCACACUUAUUUAUUACUGUGUUCAACCACCUGUUGCUUCUUCUAACCUACAGUAGAAGUUUUACAUUCAGCCCUAUAGUCAAACCUCUCCAUAUCUUGUUUUCAAAUCCAUUCCGUAUUUACGAAUAAGUUUCACGCGUGUAAAGAUUUUCACAUUACGUUUAGACAUAUUUGUCAGUCACUAGAUACCACUCAUCACAUAUGAAGCACCGUUAAGAAACAAAAAACAAAAGAAGCACAAAUUACAUGCGCAAUGAGCAUAUUCAGUACCAUGGUUCUGUUCUUAAUAUGAGUGUGUUGAGCUCAAGAGUCCAACUAUCUGCACAAAAUGCAAUGUAAUUUAGAAAUAUGUUGGUAGCAUUAAGGCUACAAAUAGGGGGGAAAACACAUGAACUAUUGAAAAUAUGCAAGUAAUAGAAGGUUGAAUGGUCCAAGAAACGCAUAUGGUAGAACUUGAAAGAAUUGCCAAGUCACCCACAAAUACAUUGAGAAAGAGAGAGGUAAUUCACAUGGAAUGUAUAGCUUAGAAUAGAGACCAUAACUUUUGACAACAUGGUGAUACAAAGCUCCUAUACGGUUCUAGGAAGAGUUGGAACAAUUGUGGGUCUAUUAUUGUUGCCAAACUUGUCAUACAUUUGAACAACAUUGGCACGAGGCUGAUUCCUAGACUUGAACCCAUGACAUUCUAGUCAUAUAGCAGAAUUGCAACCGUUGUGCUAAGUUACUCUUAUAAACAUUUAAUUUAGAUACAAAAUAAGUGAAUAACUGAACAUAAUCAAACAAUAAUAAUGAAAUCCUCAGUACCUUUUUUUGCUAGAAGAAAAUCAUGUCUUUCUCCCUCCUUUAACAAUAUGUACGCUCAAUCCGCCAAUUCUAAAAUCUUUUAGCAGAGGUUGAGACAGAGGAGAUUUGAGACUGAUGGCCAAGGAGCUUAGCAAUGUGUUCCUUCUAUGAAUACAGCCAAGUAUAAUUUUUC
rnacentral:lncRNA from 1 species